rnacentral:rRNA from 1 species
UUUAACUGAGCGUUCAGUUACUUGACGUAGACCCGAAACCGGGCGACCUACCCAUGAGCAGGAUGAAGCGAAAGUAAAAUUUCGUGGAGGUCCGAACCCACGAGCGUUGAAAAGCUCGGGGAUGACUUGUGGGUAGCGGUGAAAUUCCAAUCGAGCCCGGAGAUAGCUGGUUCUCCCCGAAAUAGCUUUAGGGCUAGCCUCAAGGUGAGAGAUACGGAGGUAGAGCACUGAAUGUCCUAGGGGGUAUUGCACCUACCGAAGACUAUCAAACUCCGAAUGCCGUCAUCUUAUACUUGGGAGUCAGACUGUGGGUGAUAAGAUUCAUAGUCGAAAGGGCAACAGCCCAGAUCGUCAGCUAAGGUCCCUAAAUGUAAGUUAAGUGGUAAAGGAUGUGGGAUUGCACAGACAACCAGGAUGUUGGCUUAGAAGCAGCCACUCAUUCAAAGAGUGCGUAAUAGCUCACUGGUCGAGUGAUCCUGCGCCGAAGAUUUCCGGGGCUAAAACUUACUACCGAAGCUACGGCAUCAGUAAUGAUGGGUAGGGGAGCUUCCCAUACGGGUUGAAGCAUGACCGUAAGGACAUGUGGACAGUAUGGGAGUGAGAAUGUUGGCAUGAGUAGCG